ACACAUUGACAAUUUAUCUACACUCAAACGGCUCUGGUGGAAGUGUCACGGGUUUUUAAGAGUGUUUUUACGAUUCUAGUGACACAUUGACAAUUUAUCUACACUCAAACGGCUAUGGUGGAAGUGUCACGGGUUUUUAAGAGUGUUUUUACGAUUCUAGUGACACAUUGACAAUAUAUCUACACUCAAACGGCUCUGAUGGAAGUGUCACGGGAUUCCACGAGUGUUGCUAAGGUUCUGGUGACAAUAGGAAGACUGUGUUGGUGUUUCCACGUCUCCAAGUCAUCGCAUCACUGAACUCAAGCCAGGGAAAGACCACAGAGGCAGGGCUGCGUUAUCAGAGUGACGCUGAAACAGGCCUUACCGUGUCUGUUUACGUCAGGCGAGCCACAGCCAAGGGGUACCUCAGAAACCUCACCAAAUGCCUUCCCUGCCAGUUUUAAAGGUCCAGGUUGUGGUGAUGGUGGUGGUGGAGGUGUGUGGUGACCUGACUGUGGUGUGUGUUGGCGGGUCACUGCUGCUCAAUGAUCGAAGAACAUCGGAAACAAGAAUUAUCGAUGUCUUUCCAAACAACAACAACAACAGCAGUGAUGGUCAGACACACGGACAGACGGACAGUUUGAAGAAGGAAGAAGAGGAGGAAGAGAAGAAAGAAAAUGGAAGGAUUAUAGACGAGAAGGAAGAAGAAGAAGAAGAAGAAGAAGAAGAGGAUGGAGGAGGAGGAGGAAGGAAGAAAGAGAGAGAUGGAGAGAAAAAGGAAGAGAAAGAAGAUGAUAGGGACAGCCAAGCCAUCCUGACAGCUGCCUUUACCCCUGGCACACCCUUUCUGGCCCUGGGGUGUGGUUGGAAGGCCCUGGACGUGUGGAAGGUCGCCAGCAGUACCCAGGACAGCCCCAGGGUCGCCAGCAGUGCCCAGGACAGCCCCAGGGUCGCCAGCAAAGCCCUGAUUGUCGAGAAGGUUGUUAGUCACGCCCUUGUGAAGAAGCCAACUGCUACUGUCAUUAGAGGAGGCUGGGUGUAUGUGGCAGACAAGGCUGGCGACGUUUACAAAUUUCCUCUUCCCUCCUCCUCCUCCUCCUCCUCCUCCUCCUCCUCCUCCUCCUCCUCUUCCUCCUCCUCUUCCUCCUCCUCCAAGCCAAUUUUGGGACACCUCUCUAUGCUUCUUCAUUUGACAGUGACCCCAGACCACCAGUACAUCAUUACCUGCGACAGAGACGAGAAAAUCGCGUUUCGAACUUGUCUCGGCCGUAUGACAUUAGUACCUUCUUAUUGGGUCACCGAGAGUUCGUGACCCAAGUGCGUGUGGUGUCCCCUGACCUCCCGCACCUCAUCUCCAGCUCUGGGGAUGGAACGCUCAAACUCUGGAACUAUGAAACAGGAAAGCUUCUCACUUCCGUAGACACCUCCGCGCUUUCCUCCAGUUUCCUCCGCCCCCUGGAGGAGGAGGAGGGGGGUGAAGGGGGGGCUGGAGAGGGGAAGAGUUGCCCCACCCCUCCACCCCAGCACCCCUCCCCUACCCCCCCUCCUGUGGCCGCAGUGAGGGGUUUUGUUGUGGCGGAGGUGUCGAAAUUGUGUCACCUUGUUGCUGUUUUGGUUGAUAGGGUUCCAGCAAUUUUUCUGUACCGGUCCACAGCAGACAGUCUUCUUCACCUCUCCACCACAGUCCUACCCACAAUCCCUCUGGCUGCUGGCUGGAGGGGGGCAGGGGGUGUGGAGGAGCUGGUGGUGGUGGGAGAGGGGGGGGCGGUGGAGGUCCUGCGGAGGAAGGAGGAAGAACUUGUCCGUCUGGAGGAAGAGGAGGAAGGAAGUGGUUUGUUAAAGGUUGCCAGAGAGAGCGGUAACUGGUGGGGAGGUGUGUCGGCGGGCAUUGGGCUGGGACACCUGUACAAGCAAAGGUACGACAAUGUGUCCCGCUAUCUAGAGAAGAAGAAGGAGAGGCUGCAGGUGGAAGAGGCUUUUCUGAUGGGACAUGGACCGCCGCCACCUAAGAAGGGACGCUGGUUGAAAUAAUGUACCAUGGUUCUUUUUUUUUUUUUUUUUUAGUUUGUUUUUUUAUUAUUAUUGUUGUUAUUUUUAGUUUUUUUUUUAUUGUAUUUAAAGGACGCUGGUUGAAGUGGAAAAUGUACGAUGGUUCU